ensembl:lncRNA
AAGAGUACUGGGAACAUUUCAAACAGCACUGUUCAUUUUACGCUGGUUGGAUAUAAAGAGUUUAAGAUUACAUCAGGCUGAUAGAGCAAAUGUUUUUUCCUGUAUGUCUGAGAGGAUGCAUCAACAAAUUCCAAACCAUAAAGAAAGGAUCAGGGGAGACCAGCAUGGAGCAGACAUCUAUAGUGAAUGGACAUAAAUUAAGUGAACUUUCUAAAAUCGAGUGAACUUUUUACAAGUUUACAGGAGAAAAACAAAUUCUGUUCUGUAUAAACUAAAAUGUUAGGUAUAAGCUAAACUCUUAAACAGGAAUGGAAGACUGUCCAGACCCAGCUACAGAAUGAGAACUUCCAGAUUCGUGGACGUGACACAGAAGGUUUCGGUCCAGUGUCGGGAUAACCCAUAUGGAUUUAAUGGUGUGGUGGUGUAUGGGGAUGAAUCCUACGGCAUGACCUUAGGAUAUAUCCCAGAUAUGACUGGCUACAAUCAAUACCUAACUAGACGUGGAAAUGACUUCAGUGCUGGAGUCGUUAAUGCAGACGAUCUCAAUGAUGCUCAAUCAUCUCCUCAAAUGCUGCCAGUGAAUGUUUCAGUGACCAUAUCUGGUAUGACGGCUCCAAUGAACACUCGCAACCAACUAGGAGCUCGUCACAUGGACCCAUACUUCACUUAUGGGAAUGCAUUAGCACCCGUUUAUGGAUGGGGAGGGAACAGGUAUCAGCUUUGGGACAGAGAUGAGCAACACGAGGAGGAAGAGAGGGAUUCUCGUCUUAAGGGGGAAAAGAAGAAAGCAGGAAGAAGGAGGAGGAAAAGAUCCCGUCAUGCUGGUCAUUAGAAGGGCUAAAGAUCUGACCAGCAUGUUAAUAAAUAAAUAAACCAUUUUAAUUCCA